UAAGGAUUCACCUCCCAAUUCCCCCAAACAAUUGUUAAAGAAGUCAUCUAGAUUCUUUCCCGCAUCGUUCUUUUCUUCUGAGGUUGAUGGUGAAGAGUUUACUCCGGCCUCCGUCUUCCAAGGGCUUAUUGCAUCUGCAAGGAAGCAAGCACCCAAGCUGGUUGCUGGCAUAAUUCUUCUUGGAGUGGGGUUUAUCUUUCUUAAUAACCGAGCGGAAAAGAAUUAUCAGUUGCUUCAUCAGCCAGAUAUAGUUACCAGUA
rnacentral:misc_RNA from 1 species